rnacentral:rRNA from 1 species
GAUGAACGCUGGCGGCGUGCCUAAUACAUGCAAGUCGAGCGAACAGACGAGGAGCUUGCUCCUCUGACGUUAGCGGCGGACGGGUGAGUAACACGUGGAUAACCUACCUAUAAGACUGGGAUAACUUCGGGAAACCGGAGCUGAUACCGGAUAAUAUAUUGAACCGCAUGGUUCAAUAGUGAAAGACGGUUUUGCUGUCACUUAUAGAUGGAUCCGCGCCGCAUUAGCUAGUUGGUAAGGUAACGGCUUACCAAGGCGACGAUGCAUAGCCGACCUGAGAGGGUGAUCGGCCACACUGGAACUGAGACACGGUCCAGACUCCUACGGGAGGCAGCAGUAGGGAAUCUUCCGCAAUGGGCGAAAGCCUGACGGAGCAACGCCGCGUGAGUGAUGAAGGUCUUCGGAUCGUAAAACUCUGUUAUUAGGGAAGAACAAAUGUGUAAGUAACUAUGCACGUCUUGACGGUACCUAAUCAGAAAGCCACGGCUAACUACGUG